GUACAAGGUCCUGAAGCAGGUGC
rnacentral:piRNA from 1 species